rnacentral:ncRNA from 1 species
CCUUGACAGAAAGUGCACAUGCACUUUUUGACAUUUGCCAAGACAAGGAGUGUAACAUG